rnacentral:hammerhead_ribozyme from 1 species
AUUCAGCUGGUGGACGAGUCCCGAAUAGGACGGAAUGCGCAUCCUGGAU